UUUACUUUCUCUCUCCAUAAAUUGCUCUCUCUAAAUUCAUUUCUUUCUAAAAAAAAACAGAAAUUCUUCCUCUCCAAAGUUCGAUCAAACUUCUAACAAACUUUAUGUUCAUCCAUUUCAUUGCCAUAACCACUCACAAAACACUAACAUUCGUCGACAUAUGCAUUAAAAUUGAAAAAAGGAUAGCAUGUCACCAAUGUUUUUGAGAUUUCAAGUAAAAUUAAGGAACAAAUAAUUGAUGUUUGAGAGAAAAUCAACUUGAGCAAGAUUUUGGAUGAAAAAAAACGUAAAAAUAAAAGGUUCACUCAAGUAGAACCGCCUGAAGCGUUCAUAGCCAUCAUGGAGUAAAUUGAGUAAGGUGUAGACAUAUUCCUUCACUCAUUGGAGAACCCACCAGACUCGAGCGAUCAAACAACGAUAACAUGUACUUCACAUGAGCUCUAAGUGUCUUUCUAACUCUAGGCUUAUAGCAAAGGAUCCGAGCAUUUGUUUCAUGGACUUCCAUCCUGAAAAUCUGUUUUGAGGAUCAACCUUCAUGCCUUUCAUUGAUUCAAUCAAUUCAUAAACAUUAUGGUUUCUUUCUUCGGUAUUUCCACGAGAGAUAUGCCUCAAAUGCUUGAUUAGCAUAAAUCGCCAUGUGCUUCCCUUCAAGUGCGGCUCAUUUAGUAAAUUGGCAGCACUUGAGAACAUUUUUAAAAAAAAAAAAACCAUUUUCACAAAUACAGUUCAUUUGAGAAAUUUGGCAGCACUUGAGUUCAAGUGCGGGCUUUAAACUCAAGUGCGGGCUUUAAACUCAAGUGCGGGCUCAUUUCACAAACGAGUCGCCCAAAAAAUUUCACAAAAAAAGUUUCAUUUCCCACUUCUCCUCCUUCCCUUAUGUGGAUUUCUUUUCCCUAAAAAUGAACGCUUUUUUCCCUCUGGUUUCGAACAAGGCCACAAAACUCAAAAUUCACAGCACUCACCGAGACUAGCCCCGGUGCCGCUGCUCUUAGGAUUUCUGAGUUAUCUGAAUGUGCGUUUUCGACGUCGAAUUAUUCGUAUUGUUAAGAGUGAGGGUUCUUCCGAUUUCAAAAUUAUUGGAGAAGCUGUGUUUCUCAUUAACAAAGUUGUUGUAAUCUCUCUUUCUCUCAAUCUCCAUUGUUUUAUUGGUUAAAAUUGCUGGAAUUUGAAAUCGGUUUGCUCUAUUCUUUUGAUUUUGCUGGGUUUGUAUUUUGAAUUUAGUCUGAAUUUUAUGCUCGUAUUAUUGUUGAACUAUCAAUUCGCCUGCUUGCAGGUUGCAACUGCCUGCAAUUUGUUUCCUCUGUUGUCCGUGUUAGGGUUUAAUCUGUUGAGAAACAAUUUGUACAAAUUGUUGAAUGAAUAGUUAAAUUGUUGGUUAGAAUUGUAGAAAUUUGAACUGGGUUUACUGUAUUUUUUUUAUAAGAAAUUAUGUGCGUGUAGUUCAAUUGAAUCGGAACUUAAUGCAUGCAUGCUUGCAACGGCUGCAAUAUGUUCAUUGAAUACUGAGUGAUUGAAAACAAUUUGUAAGAUACUACUGAUUUUCUAGUGAAAUUGCUUCUCCACUACCUGUCGCGUCGCCGUUGCUGUUCCCCCACCACCGAACUCUUCCUCUUCCUCUUCCUGCCAAUUGGUAAUUCCUUGAACUUAUCCCCUAAAUUAGUUGAAUAGAAAACCCCAAAUCACCUAAACCCUAACUUCUCCUUGAUUCUAUCACUUCUCUGGUUGUUGUUGCUACUUUGUUGUUGUUUCAGGUUCGAUGGUGCGCCGCCACUACCACCAUCCCUUAUGACUGCCCGCGUGCGCAUUUUAUUGUUUUCAAUUGGUUGUAGAUGCAGUUUGUGGGCUAAGUAGGUGGGGGGAGGGGGUAGGAGUAGGGGUUGCCUCUGCCCCAUGGUUUAUGACAAUCCUAUAUGGUGUGUGGUUAGAACAUAAUUUACACUUCAUUUUAUGAACCACAUUAUUAUGCAAUUUGCUUUCA